GCCUUACACAUGCAAGUCGAACGGUAACAGGUUAAGCUGACGAGUGGCGAACGGGUGAGUAAUAUAUCGGAACGUGCCCAGUCGUGGGGGAUAACUGCUCGAAAGAGCAGCUAAUACCGCAUACGACCUGAGGGUGAAAGCGGGGGAUCGCAAGACCUCGCGCGAUUGGAGCGGCCGAUAUCAGAUUAGGUAGUUGGCGGGGUAAAGGCCCACCAAGCCAACGAUCUGUAGCUGGUCUGAGAGGACGACCAGCCACACUGGGACUGAGACACGGCCCAGACUCCUACGGGAGGCAGCAGUGGGGAAUUUUGGACAAUGGGCGCAAGCCUGAUCCAGCCAUGCCGCGUGCGGGAAGAAGGCCUUCGGGUUGUAAACCGCUUUUGUCAGGGAAGAAAAGGUUCUGGUUAAUACCUGGGACUCAUGACGGUACCUGAAGAAUAAGCACCGGCUAACUACGUGCCAGCAGCCGCGGUAAUACGUAGGGUGCAAGCGUUAAUCGGAAUUACUGGGCGUAAAGCGUGCGCAGGCGGUUAUGCAAGACAGAGGUGAAAUCCCCGGGCUCAACCUGGGAACUGCCUUUGUGACUGCAUGGCUAGAGUACGGUAGAGGG
rnacentral:rRNA from 1 species